rnacentral:lncRNA from 1 species
UGCAGAGUUCAUGGCCACCUUCUUGUUUUUGUACAUCACCGUUUUGACUGUGAUGGGCGUGUUUAAGGACACGACUAAGUGCACAACGGUUGGAAUUCAAGGGAUCGCUUGGGCCUUUGGUGGCAUGAUUUUCGCUCUUGUUUACUGCACUGCUGGCAUUUCAGGUCUUAAAAAUUAAAAGAGCUGCCAUGAAUUUCUAGUUUGAGUAUUUAUACAUGGUUCUAGCAUAGAAAAUAGAAUUAGUUUUUUUAAAAAAAAUUAACCUGCGAUGUGAUUUUGGUACUUGCAGGGGGUCACAUAAAUCCUGCUGUGACUUUUGGGCUAUUUUUGGCAAGGAAAUUGUCCUUGACAAGGGCCGUGUUCUACAUG